GGAGGAAGGUGGGGAUGACGUCAAGUCCUCAUGGCCCUUACGGGUUGGGCUACACACGUGCUACAAUGGCAGUGACAAUGGGUUAAUCCCAAAAAACUGUCUCAGUUCGGAUUGGGGUCUGCAACUCGACCCCAUGAAGUCGGAAUCGCUAGUAAUCGCGUAACAGCAUGACGCGGUGAAUACGUUCCCGGGCCUUGUACACACCGCCCGUCACACCAUGGGAGUUGGUUUUACCCGAAGACGGUGGGCUAACCAGAUUUAUCUGGAGGCAGCCGGCCACGGUAAGGUCAGCGACUGGGGUGAAGUCGUAACAAGGUAGCCGUAGGGGAAC
rnacentral:rRNA from 1 species